UAUGUACUCCCUCCGUCCGAAAAUUCUUGUCAUCAAUAUAGAUAAAAAGGAUAUAUCUAGAACCAAUAUACAUCUAGAUACAUCCCCUUUUAUUUAUUUUGAUGAUAAGUAUUUCCGGACGGAGGGAGUAAAUA
rfam:Triticum aestivum genome assembly, contig: Triticum_aestivum_CS42_TGACv1_scaffold_404350_5BL